AGCACACUGACUUGGUUGUGGUUUCUGUUCACUUGUGUAAACAGAGGAGUUAACCUGUGCUGUAGGAGACGGAGGGAAACGGCCUAGAGGUCCGCUCAAAGAUUUUUAACACUUCCUUGAGCCAGGCUGUUGUCCCCGCAUGCUUUAAAGCCACUGCCAUCAACCGUAUCAAAGAAGGCAUCUCCAUCCUGUUUCAUAGACUACUGCCCUGUCUCACUGACCCCCAUUCUUCCCAACACCCUGGAUCCCUUUCAGUUUGCAUGUUGGGCCAACAAGGCAAGAUGAUACAAUCUCCUCUGCUCUCCACUACGGCCUUACCCACCUGGAUCUAAAGACUCUCUUGUGACUCUCAAUGUUGUUUGUAGACUUUGGCUCAGCAUUCAAUACCAUCAAUCCUCAACAGCUGAUAUUGAAACUGGACCGGCUGGGACUAAACAUCUCUCUGUAAUUGGUUGCAGGACUUCCUCACUGGGAGACUACAAGCAGUUAGCAACAAUACAUCCAGCACCAUCACACUGAGCACAAGGGUGCCCCAAGGAUGUGUGUUCAGUCCCCUGCUCUUCACCUUGCUCACCCAUAACUACAGCACCAACCUCUUCUUCAAGAUUGAGGAUGAUCAACUUUGCUGGGUCUCAUCAACAACAAUGAUGAGACCAACUAUAAGAAUGAGGUAAACCAACUAGCCUUGUGGUGCAACAGCAACAAUUUCCUCUUAAAUGUCGACAAAACAAAGGAGAUUAUCAUCGUCUUCAGGAAAUCAUGCACCCAACACCCCCCACUGAUCAUAAUAUGGUACUACUGUAGAGCGGGUGAGAAACACCAAAUUUUUAGGGGUGCAAACCUCAGAGAACCUCUCCUGGUCGAAGAACACUGCAUCACUGGCAACGAAAGCCUAACAGUGCCUCUACUUCCUCCACAAACUAAUGGGUCACCUUUACAUUCCUCCUCCCCAAACUGACUAGGAAGGACAUCGGUCUUGUGGUUCUUCACCCCUGGUCUGAAGGAGAGCAAAAAAUUAUAUCAAGUAAAGAAACAGAGACCAUCUACCUUGACAGAAAAUAAGUUUUUUUUUGGAUCGCAAAUACUGAAGGAGAAUGGUUCACAAUAAAAGGAAAAUGAGUAAA